rnacentral:lncRNA from 1 species
UGUAUAUAUUGUGAAAUUAUCACCACAAUAAAUCUAGCCCAUAUUCAUCACUGCACAUAGUUAACAAAAUUCUAUUUUCUUAUGAUGAUAACUUUUAAGAUGUACUCUCUUAGCAACUUUUAAAUAUGGAAUACAGCAUGUAGUCACCAUGCUAUACUUUACAUGCCCCCGACUUACCUAUUUGAUAGCUGAAACUGCAUAGGCUUUGACCCCUUUUGCCCAUUCACCCAUCUCCCACUGCCCCCACUGUCAUCCAGCAGUCUGUCCUCUAACUCCCAGUUAUCUUUUGUAAGAUUCAUGCUCUAGCUUUUGGACAAACAAAUAGGUUUCUUUCACAGAAAGAUGGGGCAGGGAUUUUCAAUCAGCUAUACGGGCAUUGCCGUAGAGGUGGUAGUCUUUUUAGCACUGUCUCUCCAAUUAUUACAGGGGCCUGCGGGUCCCAGGAACUGCCACCCUCACCUGAGCGAAGUGAUCAAGAGGCAUCCGCUGAGUGGCAGCCGCAAACUGUAGCUCACCAAGCUCCUUGUCCAGGCUAUUUCUCAGGCAGGAGUACUGGAAUGGGUUGUCAUUUCCUCCCCCAAGUGUUCUUCCCUACCCAGGGUUUGAACCCUCAUCACUUGAGUCUCCUGGUAUUGGCAAGUGGAUCUUUACCACAAGCGACACCUGGGAGUCCUGCAGAGACUCAGAUACUAAAAAUUAAAACCUGGGCACCAGCUGCAUGUAAAAAAAUCCUUUCAGAGACACUGGUGCUCUAGAGCAUAGUAGAAUGAGAAUGCAGACAUAAUACUCACCAGGAUGGGGAAAAGGUUAAAAAAAAACCGCUGCAGUUUAAAUAAAAGUGGGCUGGGAUUCCAGUGGUUGGCUCACAGCGGAGGAGGCGAAGGCAGUGAUGCGACCCCAACUCCAGAGGGCGCCCAGCCACCUCAAAUACGGGUCAGGCCAAGCCUGCGGCUCAGGCUGACGCUCCAAGGUGAGCAAGUGAGUGCCUUCCACGGGACGCCUGGGUGCUUCUCCCCCCAGCCUCUUCCAUACUGGGCCCUGGGGCAGGUCCAAGAAAAAAGAAAAUCUUGGAAAACCAGUGUUUUCCUCAGCUGAAUUCAAAAUGAAGCAAAAAGCAUCUGCAAAACCUGGGCAACUGAAAAGUGAGGAAAUCCAGUCUGCUUCCAUAUAAGAAAAAAUGACAGCGCUGAAUCUGAAGGUAACAAAACACUAUUCAUUUUCUAUGUCUUGGUAUACAGACACAGCUAUGUAAGUGACAGGGAGAUGUAAGUAGAGUGAAUUCCGUAUAAACGUGUGACUUACAGAAUGAUGAAAUGAACAUUCAGUAAGUAAACAGAGAAAAGGUUUCUGAAAAUUUUUCUAAGAUGUUGUACAAUUAAAGUCAUAUGAAUUUCUGAUAAGAAAAUGUCUUUUUCUACAAAAUGAACUCUACAAUAUGAUCUGGCAUGCUGGCAGCUACACUGAAGCAAAAGAAAAGGUAAUUAAGUCAUGUUUACUGUGAACAUUGAACUAGAGUUCAAGAUAGGUCGAAAGGUUCAAGUCGAAUAUGGCUAGCCAGGGGAUAACCAUUAUUGCUAAGUUAAGCAGACAGAUAAAAGUAGGGCACAGGGCUUACUGAUUUUCAACUUACAAGCAUCAACCACCAAACUUCUCCAAAUUGCACAUGCAAAACCUUAAAUCACCAUCAAUGUGAAAGCCAUUAGAUAACAUUAUAUUCAGAUUCCACUUUUUUCUCCCUCAGGUUUAAAGCCAGUGCUGUUUUAGAUCACUGUAUAAGAUCAAUUUACUUUCUAUAACAUUGUUCUGUUACAUCUUUUUUCAUUUGUAUUGUUAAACAUAAAUCAUAUAGAACAUGAACACACUGCAAAGAAAACUCAACUACAUGGUAGUUUAAAUGUAGAAGUAAACAGGUCGAUAAUCAUAAAUAACUUAUGUCUUAGUUAUGUCUUGGGUCUAUUAUUUUAAUGAUUACAGUUUGAGAUGUCCCAUAGAAUUGGACUGUGAUGCUUUUGCAUACAUACAAAGAUUUUUUUAAAGCAUUGGAAAAAAUAUAUUCACUCUGUUUAAUUGCGAAGCUAUUCCCCUUAAUUUCCUAUGCUGAGGGUGGGGAGAGGGAUAAAGAGGAAGGAAGGGAGGGAGAAGAAGGGAAAGAAAUUAGCCCCAGUCAACUGAAUGAUGAAUUAAUUUCUAAUAUAAUACAAGAAGCUGACUGAGGACACACUGAAAACUUAGUAACUGGCUUCGUAAUCUUCCAAUUUAUCCCCUACCACCUAGUGUGUCUUUUCCACAUUUCACUUAACAUGCACAUACCCACACAGAUUUUUGGACACAUUUUUAUAAAAUGCGAUAUUUUGUAGAACACUUGUGGAAAAUAUUGAGAUGGUAUAUGAGAAAAAUAUCCUGCAAUCAAAUAGUUUUGGGAAACACUGGAUCACAAAAAUUGAAUAGGGUUAUCUACUGCCAGACUUCUAAGUGCAUUUGUGUGUGCAAGCUAUGUAUUCCUCCAAAUCAUUGGACAGUGAAGCUCUUAAAGGAGAAAUUGUGUAUUGCUGUUCUGAGGGGCAGACUUUGGGAACAUUUCACCUUAUACUUGCCAUGAAUUUCAUUUACUCUUUAACUGUAAAUUCAGCUUUUAUCCAUUUGGAGACCAGGGAUAUUCUAAGUCAAGGAGCCAAGAAGCCAUAUAUUAAUAUUACCUCUACUCUAUCUUCUUACUUUGCAUGCAGAGCCUGCGUUUUUAUCCCCUUGCCUUAUAACUAAGCCUUCUAUCUAAAACCUACAAAUCAGAAACCAGAUAUCUGUCUUAUUUUCCUGUCCUAGUCUUUGAUAUGAAUUGUCCUUCCAAGACCUGGAAGUACUGACCUGAAACCCAAGUGGUCUAUAUACAGUUCAGUUCAGUUCAGUCAUUCAGUCGUAUCUGACUCUUAGCGACCCCAUGGACCGCGGCACGCCAGAACUCCCAGUCCAUCACCAACUCUUGGAGUUUACCCAAACUCAUAUCCAUUGAGUCGGUGAUGCCAUCCAACCAUCGCAUCCUCUGUUGUCCCCUUCUCCUCCUGCCCUCAAUGUUUCCCAGCUUCAGGUCUUUUCAAAUGAGUCAGCUCUUCAAUCAAGUGGCCAAAGUAUUAGAGUUUCAGCUUCAGCAUCAGUCCCCCCAAUGAAUAUUCAAGACUGAUUCCUUUUGGAUGGACUGGUUGGAUCUCCUUGCAGUCCAAGGGACUCUCAAGAGUCUUCUCCAAUACCACAGUUCAAAAGCAUCAAUUCUUCGGCACUCAGCCUUCUUCACAGUCUAACUCUCACAUCCAUACAUGACCACAGGAAAAACCAUAGCCUUGACUAGACAGACCUUUGUUGGCAAAGUAAUGUCUCCGCUUUUGAAUAUGCUGUCUAGGUUGGUCAUAACUUUCCUUCCAAGGAGUAAGCGUCUUUUAAUUUCAUGGCUGCAAUCACCAUCUGCAGUGAUUUUGGAGGCCCCCAAAAUAAAGUCUGACACUGUUUCCACUGUUUCCCCAUCUAUUUCCCAUGAAGUGAUGGGACCAGAUGCCAUGAUCUUCAUUUUCUGAAUGUUGAGCUUUAAGCCAACUUUUUCACUCUCCUCUUUCACUAUCAUCAAGAGGCUUUUAGUUCCUCUUCACUUUCUGCCAUAAGGGUGGUGUCAUCUGCAUAUCUGAGGUUAUUGAUAUUUCUCCU